rnacentral:rRNA from 1 species
UACGUAGGGGGCUAGCGUUGUCCGGAAUCAUUGGGCGUAAAGCGCGUGUAGGCGGCUCGGUAAGUCCGCUGUGAAAGUCGGGGGCUCAACCCUCGAAUGCCGGUGGAUACUGUCGGGCUAGAGUGCGGAAGAGGCGAGUGGAAUUCCUGGUGUAGCGGUGGAAUGCGCAGAUAUCAGGAGGAACACCAAUAGCGAAGGCAGCUCGCUGGGACGGUACUGACGCUAAGGCGCGAAAGCGUGGGGAGCGAACAGG